GAUACCCGGGUAGUCCAUGCCGUAAACGAUGUCGACUCGGAGGUUGUGCCCUUGAGGCGUGGCUUCCGGAGCUAACGCGUUAAGUCGACCGCCUGGGAAGUACGGCCGCAAGGUUAAAACUCAAAUGAAUUGACGGGGGCCCGCACAAGCGGUGGAGCAUGUGGUUUAAUUCGAUGCAACGCGAAGAACCUUACCUGGUCUUGACAUCCACGGAAGUUUUCAGAGAUGAGAAUGUGCCUUCGGGAACCGUGAGACAGGUGCUGCAUGGCCGCCGUCAG
rnacentral:rRNA from 1 species